UUGUCUCCCCUUACCUUAUAUUUUUCUAGCAAAAUUCUUCCAAGCUCUAUCAUUGGAUGCUCUCCAUAUGUUUUCUCUUCCCCUAGCCUCCUUUUCUUCUUUUCUCCCAAAAAUUAUGCGUACUCUUUAACUCUCUCCUUUUAAUUCUCUUUUUAUACUAAAAACUUAAUCUCCUCAUUAGAUUAUUCUUACUUUACCCUUACUUUUC
rnacentral:lncRNA from 1 species